UCUUUUAGUUUAUAGUGCAUCAUCCAGAGAAGUCAGGGCAGGACCUCAAGCAGGGCAAGGACCUGGAGGCCACGGAGGGGUGCUGCUCACUUCCUUUUCCUUCACUGCUUGCUCAGCCUGCUUUCUUAGAGUACUCAGGCCCACUCGUCCAGGUUGGCAGCAUGUCCUCUUCUCCCUCUCCUCUCCCCCUGUAAGUCUGGCCUGCCAACAUCAGUCAAGAAACUGUCAAGCUGACAUAGAGCUAGCCAGUACAAAUGGUGAGACUUAGAUUGGUUUCAGAAAUACACAAGAGGGUCUGACGUGGGUGUUCACUCUAAAACCCCCGAAAACAUCAUAUCCUGGACUCUGAGUCUUAUGACAAGAUCAGGAUAGCCGAGGCAGCUGAGAAAAACACAGAGAUGCUUAGCAUGGAAAAAGACCCAUCACAACAAAGGCUGACUUUCCUUAUCAGUGUGAACCCACGAACCCAGUGAGCACCCCCAAAUCUGCAUCGAGGAUGAUGCUGUGAGUCACGGCAUGACUCAUGGCUCCCUGACCACCACAGAACAGAAACAAGAAUAAUUUACUGCCUAGGCCAAAAGGACCUGAAAGAGCUUUCCCACCCACCACACGAGUGGCGCAUCAGAUUAGGAGUAAGGCGCCAUUCUUUCUUCUUCCUCAAGUGGAUUAGUUCUCCCUUUUGCAUCUUCCCCAGAGACCCAAGGCCAGAUAAGCCUCUGGCUUUACUAAUAAUCUUCCAGUGAACCGGCCUGUCCCUGUACCUGCCUACUCAGGCCCCUCCUGCAUGGCAAUCUAAACCAGAAGAAUGCCUCAGCACACAAAAAUGUACUUCAUCACUCCUCAGAGCAAGAUGGCUUCUUGGAUCAAUGUUUUAUGCCUUCCCUCCCUUGACCAUGACACUAAACAGACUCAUAAUAAACUGUCUCUAAGUGAACAAGCAAGAAAUUAUUCUCAGGCCAAGACACUUUGUUCUUCAAAGCUCUUUCGCUCUUGUGCUUAUAAGAAUCAAAGUCCCAGAGACCACAUUUAGGAGCACACGGAAGAGUCUGUCUUAACAGAGGGUUGGUGUGCAGGACCCAGGGCUUCUACUUCCCUCUGGAGGCUGGGGUACUGUUUGGGGUCACACGGCAAGGCCUUCUCAGGAGCUAGGAAAGGCUUGCUCUUAAGUUCUUUUUCUCCUCCUGAGCUGUACCUGACACCUGACCGGCUGUCUUUCAAAGUUUAACCCUGCCGCAAUGUGAGGAUUAAACCCUCCUGAAGCAGGAGGUUGUCUGGCAUCUGGAUUUUUUCUCUUUCUGUAGACAACACUGUGAAGAAUGGCCUCAUACAUCCAUCAAAUGUACCCUCCUUUAGUAACAACAGGAGGCAACUGAGAGGAACAGUCUUACCUUGUUAAUCUGUGUUUCCCACACUGAUAGCACUAAAAGCAGUAAGAAGGUAUCCCUCUGCUUAGGGCUUGAGUGUCCCUCAACAACCUUUUCACGGCGAUGAGGCCAGUGGGAACCAUGGGACACCUUGAUUCAACCUUAUGCAGAGGCUGCCCCAGUGUGAAUGCAGAAUCCUAGGUCAUUUGCAUGAUGUCAUGGGUGAAGAAUAGUUAGGUGGUCAGUAUUUUUCUGUGGAGAAAAGUACACCCUAAUGACAGACAGGAGAGUUGCUGCUUUGGGGAAUGGAGCCCUGAAACAGGGCACCCGUGUUUCUUCCUUCAUUGAGAUUUCUUUGCUGUCUUCAUAACUCUGCAAGGAAAUGUUGAUUGAAUUCUGACUUUAAUCUUGUAGAUACAGAGAUGCUGUCUGAAAUGGCCUGAGGGGAGACACAGAGCCUAGGCAAGUCUAUGUUUGUCGAUAGAAGGCUGAGCCCCAAAAGCAAAAGUUGAAACAAAAAACCUAAACCAAACCUUGAAAGGUAGAGCUUAAGCAGAUAGAAGUCACAAGCUUGAUGCUUUGUAAGGUUGGAGCUGAGGUUUCUGAGCUCUACCAGGUCUUGAGGGAUGGGAUAUUUUCCUGCAGGGAGAUAAAAUAGUGUCUGAAGCAUGGUCAGCUCAGUGGGAACAUUUUAAAAACACAAAUUGAUAAUUUAUUGUUUUUUUAAAUUGACAACUCAUUUCAAAAUUAAAUAUUUUAUUCAAAAUUUGAAGUGACAUUCUUUUUUAAAGCUUAAUUAAUCUAAACUGUUAUCUGACUUUUCAACGUAAGAGUUUGUCACUUAUGAAGUGGUAUUUUUCAGGAGUUUGUUUCAGAGUAAUUUGGUAGGAAGAAAUGGACCAUAAGCAAUUCCUGGCUGAGAACUGUCCAAGCUGGAUGAUGUCUGUUCAUCGCAUGCAUAUGAGAAGAUAUGAGAACCUUCCAGAACAAGGAUGUGGUGGUUGCAGGCUACCGUGUGGGUGCUGGGAAUUCAAUCCCAGGUCUUCUGGAAGAGUAACCAGCGCUUUCAGAACCUGAGUCAUCUCCCUGGCCCUGACACUUCUUUAUAGACAUUAGAAUUUUCAUAACUGACACCGUCAGGCGGAACACGGACUCCAGGCAGCUGUGGGAGACAAGAGCGCACCAGUGGAGAAGCAAACACGUGAAAACACGGGCUCACUGUGGCCGGUAUUCUUCAUCUUCAGUCUUAUAAGCCUUUCUGCCCACGAAGGUUCUGUAGGGUAUGAUUUGGAGUCAAGGAUUAAAGUUAUUUUUAAAAAGAUAAAUUCAUGUAUAUUCAUAAUCAAACAAUUCAAGUUUGAGGCACAUGCCAAAUUGUCAUAAUUAGGGAAAUUAAAGACAACAAUUUUUAUAACGUUUCUACUGGAGAAGGCAAAGACAAUGGACACAGGAGAUUCAGACAUUUUCAAAUACAACUCAUUGCUGUGAGAAUUAAUGUUUUUUUUUUUUUUUUGGUAAGCAGAGUCCAAGGGGGGUUUAUAAAGAAAGGACUCCCGAGCCACUAUAAUGAGGAGAUGGAACUAUGGGAAUAGUGACCAUAUGGCCGAAAACUCUAGAAGCAUGCUUGGGAGUCUGUCUCUGAGGUCAUCUAGGCUUGAACAUGAAAUAUGACAAUGGCGGUUCAGCUGCUGACGGGAGGAAGAUGGAUGCCGUGGCAGCCCACAAGGGUUUUGGCAGAAAGCAGGAUUCCAUUUGGUAUGAUGCAUUCGAAGGGAGGGACCACAGCAUCGUGCACAUGUGGCAUGUUUUUGGCUCACUGUUAGACGAUGGAGUCUGGGAUCUAUAUAACCUUGGAAGGUAUCAGGUUGACUUUCAGCACAAUAGCUCUUAUCCGAAGUAACUGCAAAGUGAGAACUGCAGCAGCCCCCCAAAGCGUGGUAACAAACAUCACGCUCCACUUGCCAGGACGGACUUCCUUAACAGAGGAGAAAGCGAGGAGCAUUUGAAUAUAUAAUAAAAUCUUCUAACAUGGCUCCUUUUUCCUAGAUGUGUCUAGAGCAUUGCCGUGCACUUGUUCCCCGAGGUCAAAGGUGACUCUGAGUAUUAACGAGAAGAUGCCUGAACUGACUCGGCUGCAGUCCUGCAGAGAACAACUCCACACGCGUGCCUGCUCUCUGCUGUCUCACUGCUUUCCCCUCCCCCUUUCUAGGUGUUAAAUUGCCAGAAGCCAUCAGCCUUUGGCUGCAACAUAGCAGAGUUCAAGAAGGUAAAAGUUGCCAAAGGUGAAGGGGCUCUGGUCAAGCAAUCACCAAUGGAAAUGGAAAGGUGAAGCACACUCCUUCACUGCCCUCCUUGGUGAGCUGGGUGCUGGGACAAACUCCUGGGAAAGAAGAGAGCAUCAGACACAAUGCACCAAGCAGCACAGACGCAGAGAUCUGCUCUUUUCUUCAUAAGAUGACGUUGAUGCCUUUUGCCAAGACCUGCUUCUAUGGCACACCAGAAAGUAUUACCAGGAGCUGUAUUGUUUUAUAUGUCUCUUUUUGUUCAUCCUCUUAAAGAUUAAAACAUUUUAAGGAUAUGAAUAGCUUGAAAUGAACUAAACCAGUCAUUGUUAUUACAGAAGAACUGCCCAGAAUCCAAACAUGACUCCAUUAAAUACAUUGCUGUGUCUCCCACCAUAACUUGUCUUCUAUCUCUCACCUUAGCUUGGAACCCCACCUGCAAGCUCACCAGAUGAAGUCUUCCCAGUUUCCUUCUACUCUGAUGCCUUGGGUUUGGAUCCCAGCACAGGGCACAUGUGAGGAGGACCCUUUGACUAGUAAGGGAACUCUUGUAUCCAGAACAUGACUUUUUAAUUGCAGAUCACUGAAAAGGGGAGAGUGAUAAACAAAUAAACAAACAACAACAACAACAACAUGCUUCCUCUGGCACACCACAGGCUAAGACUGACUCCAGCAAAGUUUAGGCACCUAUUCCAGUAGCUAGUAGGCUCCAACUAUUGAGGGUGUUUCAAACUGCAUGAAAGCCAAGGACUGAGCCCUCUGGUGAGCGCAGAGUUCCCAGUCCCCUGUCCCAAGUUAAGCCUCCACCGGAUUGCGCCUUGCAGACAGGAGAUCAUGAGAAUCUUCCAGGCACAUCCAUAGCAGAGAAACAGACAGCGAGUGAGCUGAGUGUCUUCUGGGUGGAUCACCUGGAAAGGCCCAGUUUUGUGAAGAAUGUGAUAAAGUUAGUAAAAGUGACUUUGGAAAAAGAAUUCACCCAAACACAAGUAAACAAACAACCUGGAAAGCUUGAAUUUCAGAAGGAAGCCAAAGCUUUGCCAACAGUUCUUUGUCCUGCUGCACUGAGUUGCAGGAAAGCUCCAGCGGACUUGGCCCUGGGCUCACAACUGAGCUGGAAAAGACAUGGAGCAUUAUUUAAUUUUUUCUUUUUAUUAGUUAUUUUAUUUAUUGGCAUUUCAAAUGUUAUCCCCCUUCCCAG
rnacentral:sRNA from 1 species